GGCAUCUUCUUUAAAUUUUAUUGCUAAAGUCUUGAAACUUUGAUCUUUUUUUCAUAAAGGUUGAUUUUUGGCACAAAAGACUAAAACUUUUAGUUAGUUUUGAAAGUUUCUUCAUCUCACGGACAUUGUUUAAUCUGCUUGCAGCUGAUUUUGUACUUACUAAAGAUUGCAGUUCUACUAGACAGAGAUGCCAAAGCAAAAUCGGGUGAAAAAUCUAUUCAAAUCAAUCAAAGGGAGCUCUUCACUUGCUCCAGAGCAGUCAUCACAUGCUUAGUCUCAGGCUCAAGCAUCAUAUUCAUCUUCUAAUCGAUACUCUUUACGUCAUACACAACCCAUCAUUCCAGUUGCAUCAACUAAUAGAGUCUCGUCACAGAAUGGCAUUCCAGCUGCAUCAACUAAUAGAGUCUCGUCACAGAAUGACAUUCCAGCUUCAUCAACUAAUAAAGUCUCGUCACAAAAUGACAUUCCAGCUUCAUCAACUAAUAGAGUCCCUUCACAGAAUAUCAUUUCAUCUUCAUCAUCUGAUGAAGUCUCUUCACAAUCAACUACACGUGGACGAGUUACAGAUGACUCAGAGCCUCGUGAUUGGGUUGUCGAUGUUAUAGCAAUUGCUCAAUUUUUUUUCUAGUUUUUGUCACUGCUUAAAGAUUUGGAUUAAUGUAGACAGAGGAUAUCAAGAACCGAUGAUGGUUGAACUCAAUCUACUGCUGGUAGUAGCACAUAUUGUUUCCAUGUCAUGUUUCCAUUUUCAAUUUGUCAUCUGUUUUCAUUCUGAUGGUUCACAUGACAUCCAAUUCAUACGUAAUAAUUUCCAAUACAGAUUCCUUUUCAAAUUAAGUCACCUUUUUUUUCAAUAACGUGAUGCCCUGUCCCUCGUGAUUGCAACCGAUUCCCAUGAUUUUGUUUUUCCUCGAUUAAUAUUUUUAUAUGUUCUUUGUUGCAGAUGAACGUCAAGUAAUAAAAUCUAUUAGGUUGAAGGUUCAGGAUGUCCAUAACUUGGAGAAUGGAUCGCGUAUAAUUGUAGAAUGUGAUGAGUUUGCUCAACCUAUUGGAAAAUUAGCCGGCCUUCUUGCAGGAUUUUUAGGGUAGUUUGCUACAAAUCCUCGAUACUUUUCUAUUGGCUUCGAGAGUUGGGCAUCCAUGCCUAAACCUUUUGUGAACCGUGCUUUUAAUGAUUUCGUAAUGGUAAUACCUUUUAAUUCUUUUGCUUAGUUUGUAUGUUAUAGUUCUGUCAGUAGUAAACUAACAUAUAUUAUUUUAUGAAGUCUCGAUUUUUCUUUAUGAGUGAUUCGCAAAAGGUAAAAGGAUGGAUUAACGAUUCGCUUAACAAAAAGUGGAAGAAAUUCAGGCUUAAGCUAUGGCAUGAGGCUGAGGAUCCAUUACUAAAGAAGAUAUCAUCAAGUACGCUCUAGAAGGAAUUCCCAUGGACCAACGGGCAUUGUAUGUUAACUAGUUCAAAAGAGGAAACAAAGGAAAGAAUUGAAGAAAUUCGAAGACAUAGACCAGAAACUCUGGCAGAAAUUUCACUGAAUAACGCGCUUGGUGUAGUCUUCGGUCCCGAGCACCCUGGCCGUGUUCAGGGCUUAGGCAUGGGUGCAGUUCCAACUGUAGUAUUCAAGCAAACAUCAAGAUGAGGUGGUUGUUCUUAUAUUGGCGCAGCUAGCACUAGUGCUCCACCUCCACAAUGGAUGCAAGAGAUGGCAAAUAUGAGAUCACAAUUAAAUGCGCUAACAAGCUUAUUUCAAAUGAAAAUAAGAAAUAUCCCGAGUAAUUUUCUCACUUAUUUCCGACUCCUUCACAGGCACCCAAUCUAGGAGAUGACGUUCCGUCACCAAGUGGGCCAAGAAGAUCCUUUAACGGAAGUAACUAUGAAAACGAAGCAAACAACAAUUAGUAAUCAUUGUUAGGAUGGACUAUGUUUUUUUUGUGUUGUAACUGUUGAAUAACUUCUUAACUUUCUGCAACUUAAACUUGAAUCUUGGAUGAUGUGGAUUUUGGGUAUGUUUUAAUAUGAUGAAUAUUUUGCUUA